GGUGCGCUGUAAUAGGAAGUUCCCCUCCAAUACUUUUAGGAAACAAUCCUGUCCGACCUGCACCAAAUGAACGCCGACCUCAUAAUCCUAAUCAUGGGAAAGCUUCUCAGAGAGUGAGGAGGAGCUGCAUCAGCUGUCAUGGAUGCACAAACAGGAACUGAAGGAUUCACUGGUUGAUAUGUACAAAGCUAAUCCUAAAGUCAAUGAAGAACUGAAACAAAGGCUGCCGUCCCCUGUAAAUCACCAUUGUUCAGAG